AUCAAAAACCAGAGCAUCAUCCUCUUACUCUCCAGCACCACUACCAACUAAACAACCAUCUCCUCCUCCGCGUUCUAUCCAUCAUAUCAAGCCUCCGGCUUCUCACUCACCACCACCUAGAGUGCCUUACUUUCCUUAUUACCAUAAAAACCUUUCCCCGCCUCCACCAACGCCCGUUUACAAGUACAAUUCUCCGCCACCUUCUCCUCCAAUGCACUUGCCUCGACCUAUUGUGCCUUACUUUCCUAAUUACUACCACGGACCACCACCACCACCAUACGCUUAUAAACGCCCACCACCUCUACCACCUCCACCCCCAGUGCACUCACGACCUAUUGUGCCUUACUUUCCUUAUUACUAUCAUGGACCUCCAUCACCACCCAAGUACAAGUCGAAGUCUCUACCACCUUCUACUCCAAUACACUCGCCCCCACAAA
rnacentral:lncRNA from 1 species